CGCAUGGGUCCCCGAGGCAGCCCUGAGUGAGCCCCGUGUAUUUUCCUUAUGUGAUCAGGCCUCUCAUAGUGGGGCUGCUGGUUUGGAGCCUGAGAGGAUUAUGAAAAUGGGGCAGUGUUACCAGCUGUUCUUGAC
rnacentral:snoRNA from 7 species